UCAGCCUUCUCAGCACACGCAUUUACUCGUUUUCAAGGCGUGACCUCACCAAACUAGAAAUGAGAAUUGCUCAUACGGCAUAAGCAGUGGGUGUAGGGACAUGGAUCUUACUUCCCUACAAACGUUUGAGACAGGCGGCUCCACACCCAAGAGUCUCUGUCUAGAGGGACACUUGAAAGGGUUGGAAGCGACCAACCACUCUGACCUCCGCUCUCAGGCUCGACGUCCCUCUUGGAAUUUGCCCUACACAUUCCUACAUCCCACCAAGAAGAAAGAGUUUUUCUCCGAGAACGGUGUGGAAUUGGAGACUCAACUUUGGGUAGCCCCUGGACCCAGGCUCUCGUGGUGUGCGGGGGUACCGUCGCGUCAGCGCAGGGCGUGGCUCGAGCUGAGGGAAGGGCGCCGCACUGGGCUGGAGGGAGGACUCUUUAGCCGCACACGCGGCGGAAGGAGCGACGGCGGCUGUACUGCGAUUACUUCCAGCAGUUUCCAGACCCGCCUGGGCGGUCCCGCCCCGCCCCCUUCUUCGAGGCUCCGCCCUACUCGCUGCGGCCCGUCACACAGGUUACCGGCUGUCCGCCCCUUUUAGCGAACCGAGACUGGUUGCAAGAACGCUCGCAGAGGGACCCUCGCGGUUCCUUGCAGCUGCCCAUGUACGUGCAACGCAGAGACACGCCUCCUCCCUACGUGAGCACAUCAGGCCUUUAUUUAAUCUGGUUUCCUUGUUGUCGCCCUCUUCCCUUCUUCAGCAGCUGCCUAGAUCUGGGGGGGAGGAGGGUCUCUAGGAACGCCUGCAGGGUGGCAGGGACUGUUGGAGGACACGUGAAGACGCUGGCCACCAAACCAGAACCAAGUUAUCCCUCUUCAGCUGCGGCGCCGGAGCCUGCCCAGCGAGCUGCAGACCACCAUGCCUCGCCUGGCGCUGCCGCGUUUGCAUGCCCUCCAGCUGGCAAGCUGCCCUCGCCUUUCCAAAGCCUCAUCUCAGACGUUUAUCGGACCCACAGCCCCUCCAGGAGAGACUGACCACAUUCCCUGCUUUGUGACCUUGUAAGGUGUCCAUCAGCUCCCGUCCUGGCCCAAUCUGUCCACCCCUGGAAUGCUGGGGAGGAGGUCCCUCACCACCCGCAGCCCUCUCUGACCAGCCCUGGUGUCUAGUCUUCCUUCCCUGGUAUUUUCUGUGUUCAUGUGUUAGAUUCCACAUAAUAAAAGCCCUUAACUUUC